GAUGAACGCUGGCGGCGUGCCUAAUACAUGCAAGUCGAGCGAACGGACGAGAAGCUUGCUUCUCUGAUGUUAGCGGCGGACGGGUGAGUAACACGUGGAUAACCUACCUAUAAGACUGGGAUAACUUCGGGAAACCGGAGCUAAUACCGGAUAAUAUUUUGAACCGCAUGGUUCAAAAGUGGAAGACGGUCUUGCUGUCACUUAUAGAUGGAUCCGCGCUGCAUUAGCUAGUUGGUAAGGUAACGGCUUACCAAGGCAACGAUGCAUAGCCGACCUGAGAGGGUGAUCGGCCACACUGGAACUGAGACACGGUCCAGACUCCUACGGGAGGCAGCAGUAGGGAAUCUUCCGCAAUGGGCGAAAGCCUGACGGAGCAACGCCGCGCGAGUGAUGAAGGUCUUCGGAUCGUAAAACUCUGUUAUUAGGGAAGAACAUAUGUGUAAGUAACUGUGCACAUCUUGACGGUACCUAAUCAGAAAGCCACGGCUAACUACGUG
rnacentral:rRNA from 1 species